rnacentral:rRNA from 1 species
CGCCCGGUUACAUUCCGAACCCGGAAGCUAAGCCUUACAGCGCCGAUGGUACUGCAGGGGGGACCCUGUGGGAGAGUAGGACACCGCCGAAC